UGGGAUUAUAUUUAAUUAUAAUAUUUGAUUUGCAUUCAAAAGGUGUUUAAUAACUAAUCUU
rnacentral:tRNA from 1 species